GCUUCUUUUCUACCGAGUGCUUGCACUCAUUUGAAAAGAGGAGUGGCGGUACGGGUGAGUAACACGUGGGUAACCUGCCCAUCAGAAGGGGAUAACACUUGGAAACAGGUGCUAAUACCGUAUAACAGUCGACACCGCAUGGUGUUGAUUUGAAAGACGCUUUCGGGUGUCACUGGAUGGAUGGACCCGCGGUGCAUUAGCUAGUUGGUGAGGUAACGGCUCACCAAGGCGAUGAUGCAUAGCCGACCUGAGAGGGUGAUCGGCCACACUGGGACUGAGACACGGCCCAGACUCCUACGGGAGGCAGCAGUAGGGAAUCUUCGGCAAUGGACGAAAGUCUGACCGAGCAACGCCGCGUGAGUGAAGAAGGUUUUCGGAUCGUAAAACUCUGUUGUUAGAGAAGAACAAGUAGGAGAGUAACUGCUCUUACCUUGACGGUAUCUAACCAGAAAGCCACGGCUAACUACGUGCCAGCAGCCGCGGUAAUACGUAGGUGGCAAGCGUUGUCCGGAUUUAUUGGGCGUAAAGCGAGCGCAGGCGGUUUCUUAAGUCUGAUGUGAAAGCCCCCGGCUCAACCGGGGAGGGUCAUUGGAAACUGGGAGACUUGAGUGCAGAAGAGGAGAGUGGAAUUCCAUGUGUAGCGGUGAAAUGCGUAGAUAUAUGGAGGAACACCAGUGGCGAAGGCGACUCUCUGGUCUGUAACUGACGCUGAGGCUCGAAAGCGU
rnacentral:rRNA from 1 species